CUGCGCUGGUGGAGGGUCAUCGGGGGACAGCAGGGGACAGUGAGGCGGUGGCGGAGGGGCUGCCCUGGCCCCUCUGGCACAAGCAGCACCAAGUGGAGGAGGAUUUCGGGGACCUGCUGGAGCAGUACAAGCACUUCAAGUCCUUGCCGGAGUCGCUGAGCCUGGAGCAGCUGAGCCUGGCGGACAGCGGCUCCCGGGAGGAGGUGGAUGCACCCAACACAAGGGACGGUGGCCCCAGCAGGGUCCCCUGCAGGACACGGUCAUUCGAGGAGGGGCCCAGCCUGGAGACCUUGUCCCUACACCUCCCGCAGAGAAGAGCUGCGACGCUUCCCCCCAGAGAACCCCCAAACCUGGGGGACACGCGGGGCCACCCCUCCCCUGCCGCUGCUGAGGAGCCGCCAGCCUCUGCCGAGA